AAGAUGCUCUAAGCCAGUUAGUUGCUCCCCUGUUGAUCACCCAUCAACAGCUCUGUUCCAUGAGUGCUUCAGCUUUCAUUGGCUACUGUACAGGGCAGCCUGAACCAUACUGCUUGUGAGUCUGUCAACAGUAGGGAUCGACCAAUUAUCGAUCUGGCCGAUGUUCAGCAUUAUGGCAAAUACUGGUAUCAGCCUAUAAUGCCUAUAACCGAUAUCAUCAGUAAUGC